AACUGCGAAUGGGCUCAUUAAAUCAGUUAUCGUAUAUUUGAUAGUACCUACUACAUGGAUAACCGUGGUAAUUCUAGAGCUAAUACAUGCUUAAAACCCCGACUUCGGAAGGGGUGUAUUUAUUAGAUUAAAAACCAAUGCCCUUCGGGGCUCACUGGUGAUUCAUAAUAACUUCUCGAAUCGCAUGGCCUUGCGCCGGCGAUGGUUCAUUCAAAUUUCUGCCCUAUCAACUUUCGACGGCUGGGUCUUGGCCAGCCGUGGUUACAACGGGUAACGGAGGGUUAGGGCUUGACCCCGGAGAAGGAGCCUGAGAAACGGCUACUACAUCCAAGGAAGGCAGCAGGCGCGCAAAUUACCCAAUCCCGACUCGGGGAGGUAGUGACAAUAAAUACUGAUACAGGGCUCUUUUGGGUCUUGUAAUUGGAAUGAGUACAAUUUAAAUCCCUUAACGAGGAACAAUUGGAGGGCAAGUCUGGUGCCAGCAGCCGCGGUAAUUCCAGCUCCAAUAGCGUAUAUUAAAGUUGUUGCAGUUAAAAAGCUCGUAGUUGAACCUUGGGCCUGGCUGGCCGGUCUGCCUCACCGCAUGCACUGGUCCGGCCGGGCCUUUCCCUCUGGGGAGCCGCAUGCCCUUCACUGGGUGUGUCGGGGAACCAGGACUUUUACUGUGAAAAAAUUAGAGUGUUCAAAGCAGGCAUAUGCUCGAAUACAUUAGCAUGGAAUAAUAGAAUAGGACGUCGCGGUUCUAUUUUGUUGGUUUCUAGGACCGCCGUAAUGAUUAAUAGGGACAGUCGGGGGCAUCAGUAUUCAAUCGUCAGAGGUGAGAUUCUUGGAUCGAUUGAAGACUAACUACU
rnacentral:rRNA from 1 species